GUUUUUUAGAAUUUAUUUUAAAGAUUUAAUCUGCCCAAUGAUUAUUUAAUGGCCGCAGUAAUUUGACUGUGUAAAAGUAGCAUAAUAAUUAGUCUUUUAAUUGAAGUCUGGAAUGAAUGAUUGGAUGAGAAAAUUACUUUCUUUAAUUUUUUAUUAUUAUAAUUUGAUUUUUAAGUGAAAAAGCUUAAGUUUUUUUUUGGGACGAUAAGACCCUAUAGAGUUUAAUAUUUUUUUUAUUAAUAAAUUUUUAGAUUUUAUAUUUUGUUUAAUAAUUUAAAUUUUUAGUUGGGGUGACUAUUAAAAAAAUUUAUCUUUAUUUUUUUUAUUCAUUUUUAUUUGAUUUUUUUGAUCCAUUAUUUAUUGAUUAUAAGAUAAAGUUACCUUAGGGAUAACAGCGUAAUUUGUUUUUAGAGUUCUUAUCGAUGAAUAAGUUUGCGACCUCGAUGUUGGAUUAAGAUUAGAAAAGGGUGAAGGUUUUCUUUAUUCUAGGUCUGUUCGACCUUUAAAUUCUUACA
rnacentral:rRNA from 1 species